rnacentral:rRNA from 1 species
CGUAGGCGGUAGUGCAAGUCUGAGGUGGAAUCCCAGGGCUUAACCCUGGAACUGCCUUGGAAACUGCACUACUUGAGUCAGUGAGGGGAGGGUAGAAUUCCUGGUGUAGCGGUGAAAUGCGUAGAUAUCAGGAGGAAGGCCGGUGGCGAAGGCGGCCCUCUGGCGCUGAACUGACACUGAGGCGCGAAAGCGUGGGUAGCAAACAGGAUUAGAUACCCUGGUAGUCCACGCCCUAAACGGUGGGUACUAGGUGUAGGGCUCGUAAGGGUUCUGUGCCGAAGCGAAAGCAUUAAGUACCCCGCCUGGGGAGUACGGCCGCAAGGUUGAA